ensembl:lncRNA
GGCGGAUCCUGGCAGACUAUUUUUUUUAAUUUCACCUUUAUUUAACAAGUUACCUGAACACGGUGACGACGUCAAGUCUGUGGGACCCGCACCUUCUCAACCCUCUACCUUGGGUCUGAAUGGUGACAGAAACAUGCCGGUGGUCCGGGGACUGGGCUCAGCUGACCCAGAAGAGGUGAAGAGGCUGAAGGACACCAGCUUCUUCAUCUGUAAUCGAUAGCUGCUUCUAUGAUUAGGGUUUUCCCAGCAUGACAACGACCCGAAACACACAGCCAGGGCAACUAAGGAGUGGCUCCGUAAGAAGCAUCUCAAGGUCCUGGAGUGGCCUAGCCAGUUUCCAGACCUGAACCCAAUAGAAAAUCUUUGAAGGGAGCUGAAAGUCCAUAUUACCCAGCGACAGCCCCGAAACCUGAAAGAUCUGGAGAAGGUCUAUAUGGAGGAUUGGGACAAAAUGCCUGCUGCAGUGUGUGCAAACCUGGUCAAGAACUACAGGAAACGUAUGAUCUCUGUAAUUGCAAACAAAAGUUUCUGUACCAAAUAUUAAGUUCUGCUUUUCUGAUGUAUCAAAU